GCGCCGUUGGUGUAAUGGAUAGCACGUAAGAUUCCGGUUCUUGAGCUGAGGGUUCGACUCCCUCAUGGCGCAUCA
rnacentral:tRNA from 1 species